rnacentral:rRNA from 1 species
UACGGAGGAUGUAAGCGUUAUCCGGAAUGAUUGGGCGUAAAGCGUCCGCAGGUGGCUAUGUAAGUCUGCUGUUAAAGAGUGAGGCUCAACCUCAUAAGAGCAGUGGAAACUACAUGGCUAGAGUGCGUUCGGGGCAGAGGGAAUUCCUGGUGUAGCGGUGAAAUGCGUAGAGAUCAGGAAGAACACCGGUGGCGAAAGCGCUCUGCUAGGCCGCAACUGACACUGAGGGACGAAAGCUAGGGGAGCGAAUGGG